rnacentral:misc_RNA from 1 species
GGUGGAGCUUUCUUUACUUGAUAUGGCAAUAAUUGCAUAUUUGUUAAAUUCUCAAGCCGCAUGUGUAGAUGGAACUUAUUCAAAUAUUCCAGAUUACAGUGAUCAUUAUAAAAUAUUUAUUAAUGGAAUAUAUAAAUUUAUUUUCUGCUCUUUUUAAUAUGCUUGAUUUAUCCUAUUUAUUGUUAUGAUUAUUAUUUUUGGAAAGUUAUUAUACACUUUUUUUUUCUGUAAUGCCUAUUCCCGAAUAAAUCUAAUGAAUUG